UACGUAGGGCGCAAGCGUUGUCCGGAAUUAUUGGGCGUAAAGAGCUCGUAGGCGGUUUGUCGCGUCUGCCGUGAAAGUCCGGGGCUCAACUCCGGAUCUGCGGUGGGUACGGGCAGACUAGAGUGAUGUAGGGGAGACUGGAAUUCCUGGUGUAGCGGUGAAAUGCGCAGAUAUCAGGAGGAACACCGGUGGCGAAGGCGGGUCUCUGGGCCGAUGACUGACGCUGAGGAACGAAAGCGUGGGGAGCGAACAGG
rnacentral:rRNA from 1 species